rnacentral:tRNA from 1 species
GCCGAGGUAGCUCAGCCUGGCUAGAGCGCUAGACUCAUAAUCUAGAGGUCGGGGGUUCAAUUCCCCCCCUCGGCA